AUUGAACGCUGGCGGCAUGCCUUACACAUGCAAGUCGAACGGUAACAGGUUAAGCUGACGAGUGGCGAACGGGUGAGUAAUGUAUCGGAACGUGCCCAGUCGUGGGGGAUAACUGCUCGAAAGAGCAGCUAAUACCGCAUACGACCUGGGGGUGAAAGCGGGGGAUCGCAAGACCUCGCGCGAUUGGAGCGGCCGAUAUCAGAUUAGGUAGUUGGUGAGGUAAAGGCUCACCAAGCCGACGAUCUGUAGCUGGUCUGAGAGGACGACCAGCCACACUGGGACUGAGACACGGCCCAGACUCCGACGGGAGGCAGCAGUGGGGAAUUUUGGACAAUGGGCGCAAGCCUGAUCCAGCCAUGCCGCGUGCGGGAAGAAGGCCUUCGGGUUGUAAACCGCUUUUGUCAGGGAAGAAAAGGUUCUGGCUAAUACCUGGGACUCAUGACGGUACCUGAAGAAUAAGCACCGGCUAACUACGUGCCAGCCGCCGCGGUAA
rnacentral:rRNA from 1 species